CUCCAAACCAGUCAAUGUGCAGGUAUGUGCUCAACCAUGUCAUCUCCAACCAGACACUCUCCAAACCAGUCAAUGUGCAGGUAUGUGCUCAACCAUGUCAUCUCCAACCAGACACUCUCCAAACCAGUCAAUGUGCAGGUAUGUGCUCAA